rnacentral:tRNA from 1 species
GGCACCAUCGCAUAGUGGCUAUUGCGACAGCUUGCUACGCUGUUUCCUUCGGGAGCGGGAGUUCGAGUCUCCCUGGUGUCG